rnacentral:rRNA from 1 species
CAACGCGACCCCAGGUCAGGAGGGGCCACCCGCUGAGUUU